rnacentral:rRNA from 1 species
GGGAUUGCCUUAGUAACGGCGAGUGAAGCGGCAACAGCUCAAAUUUGAAAGCUGGCCCUUUUAGGGUCCGCGUUGUAAUUUGUAGAGGAUGAUUCGGCGAGGGCUCCUGCCUAAGUCCCCUGGAACGGGGCGUCAUAGAGGGUGAGAAUCCCGUAUGCGGUAGGUUGCCUUAGCCAUGUGAAUCUCCUUCGACGAGUCGAGUUGUUUGGGAAUGCAGCUCUAAAUGGGAGGUAAAUUUCUUCUAAAGCUAAAUACUGGCCAGAGACCGAUAGCGCACAAGUAGAGUGAUCGAAAGAUGAAAAGCACUUUGGAAAGAGAGUUAAAAAGUACGUGAAAUUGUUGAAAGGGAAGCGCUUGCAACCAGACUUGUCCGCAGUUGCUCAGCCGGUCUCCUGACCGGCGUACUCUUCUGCGGCCAGGCCAGCAUCAGUUCGGGCGGUCGGAUAAAGGCCUCGGGAAUGUAGCUCCUCUCGGGGAGUGUUAUAGCCCGGGGUGGAAUGCGACCAGCCUGGACUGAGGAUCUCGCUUCGGCAAGGAUGCUGGCGUAAUGGUUGUAAGCGGCCCGUCUUGAAACACGGACCAAGGAGUCUAACAUCUAUGCGAGUGUUCGGGUGUCAAACCCGUACGCGUAAUGAAAGUGAACGGAGGUGGGAACCCGCAAGGGUGCACCAUCGGCCGAUCCUGAUGUCUUCGGAUGGAUUUGAGCAAGAGCAUAGCUGUUGGGACCCGAAAGAUGGUGAACUAUGCCUGAAUAGGGUGAAGCCAGAGGAAACUCUGGUGGAGGCUCGCAGCGGUUCUGACGUGCAAAUCGAUCGUCA